CCGAGCCCGCAGUCCGAGUGUGGUCCCGGUGAGCGUCCGCCGGCGUCCGCAAGUGACCAGGUUGCCUCAUGGUUGCAACUGAAGUUCCAGUCAUCACACCCACAUUCUAGGCAGGAACAAGGAGGAAAAAGAGACGGGCACCUGGAGGCUGAGAGAAAUGUGAAAAUGUGACCCACUUGAAGAACAGGAAACUGGCACUUCUCAGCCUGAGACCUAUUUUUAUCUUAAGGACUCUGUG